UAAGGGAUAUUGGUCAAUGGGGCGGGAGCCUGAACCAGCCAUGCCGCGUGAGGGAAUGAGGCCCUACGGGUCGUAAACCUCUUUUGCCGGGGGAUAACGGGCGCCACGGGUGGCGCCGUGAAGGUACCCGGAGAAUAAGCAUCGGCUAACUCCGUGCCAGCAGCCGCGGUAAUACGGAGGAUGCGAGCGUUAUCCGGAUUUAUUGGGUUUAAAGGGUGCGUAGGUGGCUUGUUAAGUCAGCGGUGAAAGUCAGAGGCUCAACCAUUGAAUUGCCGUUGAAACUGGCGAGCUUGAGUACGUACGGGGCAGGCGGAAUGCGUGGUGUAGCGGUGAAAUGCAUAGAUAUCACGCAGAACCCCGAUCGCGAAGGCAGCCUGCCAGGCCGUGACUGACACUGAUGCACGAAAGCGUG
rnacentral:rRNA from 1 species